rnacentral:rRNA from 1 species
AUUGAACGCUGGCGGCAGGCCUAACACAUGCAAGUCGAACGAGUGGCGGACGGGUGAGUAAUGUCUGGGAAACUGCGCGAGGGAGGGGGAUAACUACUGGAAACGGUAGCUAAUACCGCAUACCAUCGGAUGUGCCCAGAUGGGAUGAGCUAGUGGGUGGGGUAACGGCACACCUAGGCGACGAUCCCUAGCUGGUCUGAGAGGAUGACCAGCCACACUGGGACUGAGACACGGUCCAGACUCCUACGGGAGGCAGCAGUGGGGAAUAUUGCGCAAUGGGCGCAAGCCUGAUUCAGCCAUGCCGCGUGUGUGAAGAAGGCCUUCGGGUUGUAAAGUACUUUCGGCGGGGAAGCGUUACUCACAUAAAAAGCAACGGCUAACUCCGUGCCAGCAGCCGCGGUAAUAC